rnacentral:lncRNA from 1 species
UUCCAGUAUCCUUUACUUUGCAUAGUCAUUUACACUUGCUGAAAGUGAGUGCAAAGUGGAUGCAAAAUGCUACCUCAUCAACUGGUAAUGUUUUGCACAGGUGUAAAUGACUAUACAAGCUGCAAUGCUGUGCUAAAAUCAGGCUUCUUAUCUUGGUUGAUUGGAGGUAAAGCCAUUAUACUUUUAAAAAGACCUCUUGCAGACUACUCCUCUUUCUUUAAGUUCAAGAGUUUCUUAUGUUACUCUAGUGCUUGCAGUAAGUUAGUAGUAAAGCUAAAGGUCAAGAGGAAGAAUGAAAAGAAGAUAUUUGUGGACAAAGAUCUUGUGGGCAAGACUGCUCAUUUUGUUAAGGCUGUCUCCCUCUCACGUCUUUUCUCUUCUGGAUGGCAACACUAUUCAGUAGAAAGGCUGUCUUCUAACAUUAAGAAGAACAAUACACCUUCUAGAAGGAGGCUGGGUUAAGUCUAAUUUCAAGCGUCUUCCUGUGAGUUUUAAACCCUUUUCCUUGGAAGAGCUUUUUGCUGGUCGCUCGCUGAGGGGAGCAGGACCGUGAGCAUGCUGUGAAGACAGGAAGGAUCUGACCAUCUCCUCCCGGCGGGGCAGUGCGGGACGCGUGGGGAAGUCUGGGGACAGCCGGGCAGGGCAGUGGGAACAUCAGCAUCGGCUUGCUGGUGCACACCGCUGUCUUCGGAGGUACUAGCCAGAAAGCCAAACGGGUUUGGACAUGAGCAAACGCUAGCAGCCCUUGGUGCGUCUCCGUUUUCAGAGCCUGCGACUGAAUCCUUGGCAAGAAGGUGGCGCUGGCACUCUGAGAUUGGGAUUUCUUGCAGCUGGUGACUUCGGAGCCACAGGGGUACCUUUUAAACAAUCUACAGGCUGCAUCAAGUGGAAAAACAACUUCCCCGCAGCUGUUUUAUGUUGUGAUUUUUGUCGUUGUUGUUCCUUUUCUUUUUUUCUUUUUUUUUUUAAAUGCUUGACACUUAUAAAUCCUGCUCCCUUGCAAAUAAGGUCCCCUCUUCUCCUGUGAAAUAAAUGCUGCCUCAACUAGUUCA